rnacentral:rRNA from 1 species
UUGAACGCUGGCGGCAGGCCUAACACAUGCAAGUCGAGCGGUAACACAGAGAGCUUGCUCUCGGGUGACGAGCGGCGGACGGGUGAGUAAUGUCUGGGAAACUGCCUGAUGGAGGGGGAUAACUACUGGAAACGGUAGCUAAUACCGCAUAACGUCGCAAGACCAAAGUGGGGGACCUUCGGGCCUCAUGCCAUCAGAUGUGCCCAGAUGGGAUUAGCUAGUAGGUGGGGUAACGGCUCACCUAGGCGACGAUCCCUAGCUGGUCUGAGAGGACGACCAGCCACACUGGAACUGAGACACGGUCCAGACUCCUACGGGAGGCAGCAGUGGGGAAUAUUGCACAAUGGGCGCAAGCCUGAUGCAGCCAUGCCGCGUGUGUGAAGAAGGCCUUCGGGUUGUAAAGCACUUUCAGCGGGGAGGAAGGCGUUAAGGUUAAUAACCUUGGCGAUUGACGUUACCCGCAGAAGAAGCACCGGCUAACUCCGUGCCAGCAGCCGCGGUAAUACGGAGGGUGCAAGCGUUAAUCGGAAUUACUGGGCGUAAAGCGCACGCAGGCGGUCUGUCAAGUCGGAUGUGAAAUCCCCGGGCUCAACCUGGGAACUGCAUUCGAAACUGGCAGGCUAGAGUCUUGUAGAGGGGGGUAGAAUUCCAGGUGUAGCGGUGAAAUGCGUAGAGAUCUGGAGGAAUACCGGUGGCGAAAGCGGCCCCCUGGACAAAGACUGACGCUCAGGUGCGAAAGCGUGGGGAGCAAACAGGAUUAGAUACCCUGGUAGUCCACGCCGUAAACGAUGUCGAUUUGGAGGUUGUGCCCUUGAGGCGUGGCUUCCGGAGCUAACGCGUUAAAUCGACCGCCUGGGGAGUACGGCCGCAAGGUUAAAACUCAAAUGAAUUGACGGGGGCCCGCACAAGCGGUGGAGCAUGUGGUUUAAUUCGAUGCAACGCGAAGAACCUUACCUGGUCUUGACAUCCACAGAACUUUCCAGAGAUGGAUUGGUGCCUUCGGGAACUGUGAGACAGGUGCUGCAUGGCUGUCGUCAGCUCGUGUUGUGAAAUGUUGGGUUAAGUCCCGCAACGAGCGCAACCCUUAUCCUUUGUUGCCAGCGGUUAGGCCGGGAACUCAAAGGAGACUGCCAGUGAUAAACUGGAGGAAGGUGGGGAUGACGUCAAGUCAUCAUGGCCCUUACGACCAGGGCUACACACGUGCUACAAUGGCAUAUACAAAGAGAAGCGACCUCGCGAGAGCAAGCGGACCUCAUAAAGUAUGUCGUAGUCCGGAUUGGAGUCUGCAACUCGACUCCAUGAAGUCGGAAUCGCUAGUAAUCGUAGAUCAGAAUGCUACGGUGAAUACGUUCCCGGGCCUUGUACACACCGCCCGUCACACCAUGGGAGUGGGUUGCAAAAGAAGUAGGUAGCUUAACCUUCGGGAGGGCGCUUACCACUUUGUGAUUCAUGACUGGGGUGA